rnacentral:tRNA from 1 species
GCCUGAGUGGCGGAAUAGGUAGACGCACAGGACUUAAAAUCCUGCGGGAGUCAAAUCCCGUACCGGUUCGACUCCGGUUUCAGGCACCA